GAUGAACGCUGGCGGCGUGCCUAAUACAUGCAAGUCGAGCGAACAGAUGAGGAGCUUGCUCCUCUGACGUUAGCGGCGGACGGGUGAGUAGCACGUGGAUAACCUACCUAUAAGACUGGGAUAACUUCGGGAAACCGGAGCUAAUACCGGAUAAUAUAUUGAACCGCAUGGUUCAAUAGUGAAAGACGGUUUUGCUGUCACUUAUAGAUGGAUCCGCGCCGCAUUAGCUAGUUGGUAAGGUAACGGCUUACCAAGGCAACGAUGCGUAGCCGACCUGAGAGGGUGAUCGGCCACACUGGAACUGAGACACGGUCCAGACUCCUACGGGAGGCAGCAGUAGGGAAUCUUCCGCAAUGGGCGAAAGCCUGACGGAGCAACGCCGCGUGAGUGAUGAAGGUCUUCGGAUCGUAAACCUCUGUUAUUAGGGAAGAACAAAUGUGUAAGUAACUAUGCACGUCUUGACGGUACCUAAUCAGAAAGCCACGGCUAACUACGUG
rnacentral:rRNA from 1 species